GGAGGCAGACGAAGGAGCAGCUCUCCUACUGAGUCUCCAUCCCAGAGAAGACGAAGAUGAAGAAGAGCAGGAGAAGUCGACAGACCCGCCUCACCCGUGCAUCCCAGCAGCUCCCGAAAUUAGAACCAAGUCAGUCCGCUGUGAGGUCGAGAGGACAUGAUGUGCCAUGAAGACUGAUCUCUGUGACUGAAGCUGAGAAGACUAAACACACAGGAUCCUUCAGGAGUCGACGCGGAGAUGACACCUGCCAUCCACGUUUACCUGACACAAGGAUGUGUUUCAGAUAAAACAUCCCCCCAACAUGAACCCUCGUUACACUUCCUUCCAUUUAACCAAACCAACUCAAAUCUUUACUGAAAAGUAAAAGUACUUCAUCAGAAAAUGUAUUUAAAUAUCACAAGUAAAAGUAGGCGUUAUCCAGAAUAGCUCAUUAAAUAGUGUUAUUAUUAUUUUUGAUAUAUUAUUAGAUUUUCAUUCAUUAUCAUGUAAUUAGUAUUUUAAUGUUGCUGGAGCUCAACUAGCUACACUAUAUACAAAAUAUUUUUCAGAUAUUUUUGCUUAAUUCAAAGUACUAAUACUACAAUAUUAAAGUCAUGCAUUAUAAAUCCUGCUUAAGGAAAAGUCUCAGCAAAAUGUACUUGAAGUAUUAAAAAGUAAAAGUAUUAUUGAUAACACAAUCAAUGCAUCAUCAUUUAUAACAUGACAGUGGUGGAGAAAGUAUAUAUACGCAGUACACAUGUACUUAAAGUAUUCAAAAGUAAAAUAAAUAUCUGUUUGAGUAUACUAUAAUAUAUUACUUUAACAAAUUAUUAUUACUG